GUUAAGUUGCAGGGUAUAGACCCGAAACCCGGUGAUCUAGCCAUGGGCAGGUUGAAGGUUGGGUAACACUAACUGGAGGACCGAACCGACUAAUGUUGAAAAAUUAGCGGAUGACCUGUGGCUGGGGGUGAAAGGCCAAUCAAACCGGGAGAUAGCUGGUUCUCCCCGAAAGCUAUUUAGGUAGCGCCUCGUGAAUUCAUCUCCGGGGGUAGAGCACUGUUUCGGCUAGGGGGCCAUCCCGGCUUACCAACCCGAUGCAAACUGCGAAUACCGGAGAAUGUUAUCACGGGAGACACACGGCGGGUGCUAACGUCCGUCGUGAAGAGGGAAACAACCCAGACCGCCAGCUAAGGUCCCAAAGUCAUGGUUAAGUGGGAAACGAUGUGGGAAGGCCCAGACAGCCAGGAUGUUGGCUUAGAAGCAGCCAUCAUUUAAAGAAAGCGUAAUAGCUCACUGGUCGAGUCGGCCUGCGCGGAAGAUGUAACGGGGCUAAACCAUGCACCGAAGCUGCGGCAGCGACACUGUGUGUUGUUGGGUAGGGGAGCGUUCUGUAAGCCUGUGAAGGUGUGUCGUGAGGC
rnacentral:rRNA from 2 species